GCAUAUCAAUAAGCGGAGGAAAAGAAACCAACAGGGAUUGCCCUAGUAACGGCGAGUGAAGCGGCAAUAGCUCAAAUUUGAAAUCUGGCUCUUUCAGAGUCCGAGUUGUAAUUUGCAGAGGGCGCUUUGGCAUUGGCAGCGGUCCAAGUUCUUUGGAACAGGACGUCACAGAGGGUGAGAAUCCCGUACGUGGUCGCUAGCCUUUGCCGUGUAAAGCCCCUUCGACGAGUCGAGUUGUUUGGGAAUGCAGCUCUAAAUGGGAGGUAAAUUUCUUCUAAAGCUAAAUACUGGCCAGAGACCGAUAGCGCACAAGUAGAGUGAUCGAAAGAUGAAAAGCACUUUGGAAAGAGAGUCAAAUAGCACGUGAAAUUGUUGAAAGGGAAGCGCUUGCAGCCAGACUUGCCUGUAGUUGCUUAUCUGGACUUUUGUCCAGUGCACUCUUCUGCGGGCAGGCCAGCAUCAGUUUGGGCGGUUGGAUAAAGGUCUCUGUCAUGUACCUCUCUUCGGGGAGGCCUUAUAGGGGAGACGACAUGCAACCAGCCUGGACUGAGGUCCGCGCAUCUGCUAGGAUGCUGGCGUAAUGGCUGUAAGCGGCCCGUCUUGAAACACGGACCAAGGAGUCUAACAUCUAUGCGAGUGUUUGGGUGUCAAGCCCAGACGCGUAAUGAAAGUGAACGGAGGUGGGAACCCUUUGGGUGCACCAUCGACCGAUCCUGAUGUCUUCGGAAGGAUUUGAGUAAGAGCAUGGCUGUUGGGACCCGAAAGAUGGUGAACUAUGCUUGAAUAGGGUGAAGCCAGAGGAAACUCUGGUGGAGGCUCGCAGCGGUUCUGACGUGCAAAUCGAUCGUCAAAUUUGGGCAUAGGGGCGAAAGACUAAUCGAACUAUCUAGUAGCUGGUUCCUGC
rnacentral:rRNA from 1 species